rnacentral:rRNA from 1 species
UACGUAGGGGGCAAGCGUUGUCCGGAAUCAUUGGGCGUAAAGCGCGUGUAGGCGGUCCGGUAAGUCGGCUGUGAAAGUCCAGGGCUCAACCCUGGGAUGCCGGUCGAUACUGCCGGACUAGAGUUCGGAAGAGGCGAGUGGAAUUCCCGGUGUGAGCGGUGAAAUGCGCAGAUAUCGGGAGGAACACCAAUGGCGAAGGCAGCUCGGCUGGGACGUUACUGACGCUGAGACG